rnacentral:rRNA from 1 species
UGGAUAACCAUGGUAAUUCUAUGGCUAAUACAUGCGCACUCGCCUCCUUCUCUGGAGGGGCUGUGUUUAUUAGAUACAAAACCAACCCACUUUGUGGAGUCCUGGUGAUUCAUAGUAACCGAACGGAUCGCAGUUGGCUUCGGCCCGCGAUGGAUCUUUCAAGUUUCUGACCUAUCAGCUUUCGACGGUAGGGUAUUGGCCUACCGUGGCAGUGACGGGUAACGGGGAAUUAGGGUUCGAUUCCGGAGAGGGAGCCUGAGAAACGGCUACCACAUCUAAGGAAGGCAGCAGGCGCGCAAAUUACCCAAUGAAAACAGUUUCGAGGUAGUGACGAGAAAUAACAAUACAGGGCAUUUUAUGCUCUGUAAUUGGAAUGAUGGGAAUGUAAAACCCUUCCAGAGUAACAAUUGGAGGGCAAGUCUGGUGCCAGCAGCCGCGGUAAUUCCAGCUCCAAUAGUGUAUAUUAGAGUUGUUGCAGUUAAAAAGCUCGUAGUUGGAUUUCUGUCGUGGUCAUCCGGCUCCGCCCGUAUGGGUGUGCGCCUGGUUUGCCCUCGGCUUUCUUCCGGUAGCCUUCCGCGCUUCACUGCGUGUGUUGGUGUUCCGGAACUUUUACUUUGAGAAAAAUAGAGUGUUUCAAGCAGGCUUGUCGCCCUGAAUACUUCAGCAUGGAAUAAUAAGAUAGGACCUUGGUUCUAUUUUGUUGGUUUCUAGGACCUAGGUAAUGAUUAAUAGGGACAGUUGGGGGCAUUCGUAUUUAACUGUCAGAGGUGAAAUUCUUAGAUUUGUUAAAGACGAACUACUGCGAAAGCAUUUGCCAAGGAUGUUUUCAUUAAUCAAGAACGACAGUAGGGGGUUUGAAGACGAUUAGAUACCGUCGUAAUCUCUACCAUAAACUAUGCCGACUAGAGAUAGGGAAAUGCCUACCUUGGCUUCUCCUGCACCUCAUGAGAAAUCAAAGUCUCUGGGUUCUGGGGGGAGUAUGGUCGCAAGGCUGAAACUUAAAGGAAUUGACGGAAGGGCACCACCAGGCGUGGAGCCUGCGGCUUAAUUUGACUC